GGGGGGGGGUGUUUUAUGGCGUCAGCGUGGUCGGCGCGUCAGUGACGUCAGCGGCGCGAUCCCGGCGUCUACGGUGCGUCGGAGGCGCGUUCGGCGCGUGCAGAAUGUAGGCGAUGCAGUAAGCUGGUCGGGUGCAUCCAUGGCGCGGUUAGCGGUUCGGCGGCUUCCCAGCCGCGCAAAAGCUUAUAUGAAGGCCAAUCAUGUUCAGACCCUGGCGGAGGUUCUUGCUGACCCAGGCUCUCACCGGCACAUUGUCCUUUACUGUCCUCCUGAGGGCGUCUGAGCUUCAAUGCUGUGUGCUCUGGGCCUCCAUGCUGGGGCACCACCGACUCUCGGUGUCCAGGGCUUCCAGUGGACUCUCCGAGGCACUGAUGUAGAAUCUUCCCCAUUCAGCGCACCAAGAGCAGCCUCCCACGGUGUGGGGUGACAUGAAGAGCUGUCAGAUCCAACAGAUUUCGUGUUCCUGUUAAUGGAAAAUAUCGGUGGUGUAAGUUCCCCUGGAUCUCCUCAUCUUCAUGUAAGUUUGUCUGUUCCCCCAUCCCUCCCUUGUUUCCUUCUUUUCCUUCCUUCCUGAGUUUUUUGAUCAGGGUCCUGUGAGGCUAAAAUCCAGGAAUGGCCUGGGAAUGCUUUUUCUCUAGAGCUCAGGCCAUUUUUCUGAGUUCACUACAUGUAUUGAAAGAGUUUGUAUUCUUGUUCGUGGAGGACUGAGGGCCCUUUUUCUGUGCUGGCUGUCAGCCAGGAGACACUCUGACUUCAAAUGCUACCUGCUUUUCUCCUUACCUGUCUUUUCCAUCUUUCAACCAAUCACAACUCAUGGAGUCCUUCUCAGGCGCCUCCCUUCUCUGCCUCCAGGCUCUGCGUUUUUUUUCUAUCAUUUUUGAACACAUUUUAUUUUUCUUCUUCCCCAACUCUUUUGGUUCUUCCCCUUUCCCCUCAUGGCAGCAUUCUCCACUUAAUCCUUGUUACAUCAUCCCCAGAAGAAUUGGUCAGAUAUUGCCUGUGUCACAGUCCUGAGCAUCUUUAGGAGGGGCUGUCCUUGUGAGCCUGUGCUCCUCUUCACUGUCCUGAGUUCUCACAGUCAUGAUUGCUUUCAGCUGACCUGGCUGGCUCAGGAGAAAAACCUAAGACUUUGGAGUCCCAGAACCCAUCUCUGCUCUCUCUAUCUCCAAGAAAGGAAGAAAACAACAGGGAUCUUCUUGGAGAAAUGGCCCAUGUGAGGGCCUGGACUCUCCAGCAGUUAACAGCAGAGGAAUCUUUCUGAGGAAGAAUGGAGGAGCUGAGAGCCCAGGCCAGGAAAGCAGGGUUGUGUGAAACACUCUUUAAUCCUGUGUGCUCCCUGCCCCAAUCUAGCAGCUAGUGAGUGACAGCUGACUGAGUAUAAAUGCCAGGACUAUAGAACUGUGAUAAAGGGUUUGUCCAAGGAAAGGGGCUUUUACUGUUUUUGUUUUCACAGAGGAAAUUGGUAUUUCUAUUCUAAAGUUUUCUGAAAGUCAGCAGUGAGCUUCUGGAGGGUGAGUUACCUGCUCUGCACAGGGAGGCUGAGGCCAAGGCUUGUGUGUGGGCUCUGCUGUCACCAAGAGGUGAGGGUGCCUGGGAGAGUCUUAGUCUUUCUGGGUUUCAGGUUCCUCAUGGGUAAAGUAGGGGCUUAUUGUACCUCUCUGAGGUCCCUUCCUACUCUGUUUCUCUGAGUCUCCGAGGAAUUGAGAUGGUUUUCAGUGCUCCCUGGGACCGUCGGCCGAGACCUGACUGUGUGUGUCUCCUGCAGGAGCCUCAGCUGAGUCUACAUCCUGAAAUCCCAGAGCUGAGGAAAGAAAGAAAGUCAGCAAGUUUAGGGGAUGAGAAUAAUCCAAAAAGGAUAAGCCAUUGAUAGAUGAAAACCAAAGAAGGGGAGAAUAAGGACAAACUGGGACAGAAGCCUCAGGGGAAAUGGGCAAUGCCUAUGAUCACUUAAAUUCUCAGGAAGCAGCAUGAGCUGAGCAGUGGGGACUGAGAGAGAAACUACUCCACAGGAAUCUCCUGCCUCUGGCCAGGGAGAGCCAUAGGGUAGAUCAGAGCUGGUUUAUAGUGAGGGGCAGCUUCAACUCCAGGAGGGGGAGGAUGCGACCGUGCGCCCCCCUCCCUCAGACCCAGGAGCCUCGACCUCGGGGCUGCCGUAGCAGUGGAUGCUCUUCAGGUCACUGUGGGUUCGAGGGAAUAACCGUGCUUACAGAAGGGUUGGAGGUGUUCAUUCUUACACCGAACAGCUCUGCCCUAGGUCAGGUGCCAGAGUAAGUGUCCCUCGCUUAUAUGUGAAGCAGUGAUACUUUACUAUUCUUCUGCACCUUCAGUUGAGGGAAGUUUCUCAUAAAUAUUUAUUGAGUAUUUAAUUUUCUUUAUACUGUGCUAAGCACUUGGGAUUCAGCUAUUUAAUGUCUCCAAAGAAAAGCCAGUGAGUGGAAGAACACAAAUAUCAUUUCAACAAGAUACAGUAGUUCUAACCAACUGAGGUGUUGUGGCAGCCCGGAGGCUGGGAAGGUAUGUCAGAGGACAUUGCUCCUAAUGACAGGGGGAAGCAUAAGAGAACAUUUUCAGAUUGGCCAGGCCUGGUGGCUAAUACCUAUAAUCCCAGCACUUUGGGAGGCCGAGGCGGGUGGAUCAGAAGGUCAAGAGAUCGAGACUCUCCUGGUUAACAUGGCAAAACCCCAUCUCUACUGAAAAUACAAAAGCAGUAGCUGGGCAUGGUGGUGCGUGCCUGUAGUCCCAGCUACUUGGGAGGCUGAGGCAGGAGAAUUGCUUGAACCCAGGAGGUGGAGGUUGCAAUGAGCUGAGAUCACACCAUUACACUGAAGCCUGGGUAACUAGAGCAAAACUCUGCCUCAAAAAAAAAAAAAAAAAAUUUCUGAACAGGCUAGCCUUCCUUCAAGCUCCCACAGGAGAGGAUCCUGGGGCAGGGACGGUGUAGGGCAGGCACCUCUCUAGAGAAGGGGAUUUGCAGCAUUCUGAGGGAAGGAGAAUCCUUAGUAGACACUGGGGACAGAAAUGUAGGCGAAAGGGUCAGAGGUUUGUAAUCAAUUUUAUUCAGUCAUGGAUGAACACUGCUGAGAGACCCCUCUGUGCUGGGCCCUUAGCUGAGAACCAUGACCACAGAGGUGAGUAAAAUAGGAUCCCAGCUUUCACACAAUUCUCAGUCUAGUGACUGGUGAUUGAUGAGAAGUGUAGUCAUGGUGGGUUCAUUGGAACCAGUGGCCGAUGCUGCAUGAGAUGACCUCAGUGUAUGGCCUAAGCCAGUGAUUCUGGACUUCAGCCAUAUUUCAGCAUCCUGAGGUACAGUGCACCAAUACCUCUGCUCCAUGUUGAGUCAAAGCAGUUAACACAGCCAAGGUUUUCAGAAGACACUGAUGAUAUCAGUAGCUAUUGACUGUUUCCAGCUGGGCAAACAAAGAAGUAAAUUUAAUAAGUCUUCUAAAUUUGUCCUUGCCAUGAUGAUAAAUAAGUUGAUCUUGAUAAUGAAUGAAAUUCUGGCAAAUUAAUUAUAACUUGCCAUAAUGAGAAAUAACUUUAUGCUGAGUACAGCAGACACACAAGCCCUUGAGGACACAUGCCUGAGGAUUCUGAUGAGGAUAUUAUGUCUAAAUAUGUACACAUUUGGACCUACAGUCCAGCUUUGAAACAAUGGAAGACCUAGUUUCAAAUUCAAGGUUUCUUUGAGUAGAAAUUCACUUUACCUCUCUUUGCAUGGCAAUGGGGCCAAUCUUCCCUAAGGUGCCCCUUACAAGAAAAGAAAUCAUGCUGAUAAGAUUCCAGACUUCAGCAGACAUGGGGAGCCUUGGGAGGAGCCUGAAUCACUGAUGGAAUUGGACUGUGCAUGGAGAUGGUUGAGCAAGAUGAGGGUAAGUGCCGGGGCAUGGCCAGGUCAUACUGGGAGACAAUGAGCAGCACUGAUGCAGACAAAGAUAAAGUCAACAGUUUGUGCUUCAGCAUCAAAAACUCAAACCAAGCCAGGCGCGGUGGCUCACGCCUAGAAUCCCAGCACUUUGGGAGGCUGAGGCGGGUGGAUCACGAGGUCAAGAAAUCAAGACCAUUCUGGUCAACAAGGUGAAUCCCCGUCUCUACUAAAACUACAAAAAUUAGCUGGGCAUGGUGGUGCGCGCCUGUAGUUUCAGCUACUCGGGAGGCUGAGGCAGGAGAAUUGCUUGAACCCAGGAGGCGGAGGUUGCGGUGGGCCGAGAUCGUGCCAUUGCACUCCAGUCUGGGUGACAACAGCGAAACUCUGUCUCAAAAAAAGAAAAAAAAAAUCAAACAAAAAAGGAAUUUGCUUUUAGUAAUAAGUAUUUUUCUAUUUACAUGAGAAUUUAAUCUCAAAUCAUAAAAAUAGUAAGUCCAGGGCAUAAAACCUAAACCAUAGCUCAUAGUUACUCUUUCUUAAUGGAGGUAUCAGUAAAAUCUUCUUCAUAAAACAUACAUUGUGGUUAUAAAAAGGCAAAAGUUGACCAGGUGCAGUGGCUCAUGCCAGCAGUCCCAGCACUUUGGGAGGCCGAGACGGGUGGAUCACGAUGUCAGGAUAUCAAGACCAUCUUGGCCAACAUGCUGAAACCCUGUCUCUGCUAAAAACACAAAACUUAGCCAGGCAUGGUGGCACGUGCCUGUAGUCCCAGCUACUUGGGAGACUGAGGCAGGAGAAUCACUUGAACCCAGGAUGCAGAGGUUGCAGUGAACUGAGAUUGUACCACUGCAUUUCAGCCUGGUGACAGAGUAAGACUGUCUCAAAAAAAGGAAGGAAGAAAAGCAAAAUUCUUAGUGAAAAUCAUAGGUGUACCUUAGAAGAGAGAAUUAAAUAUAGUCAAGGGAAGACCAAGUCUCAUAGUUCUCUUGUAUAUUCCAAAGUUCCAGGGAAAUGCCAGGUAACAGAGGAUAUUUCCCAUGCUGUUAAAGCAAGGUUGCAGACACUAAUGAAUUCUGGGCCCAAUACUCCAGGAGGGCACACCUCUGUCCUGGAAAAUUGUACAGGAAUGAAUACUUUUCCUUUGACUCAUUCUGGUUAUUCAUCCAGGAUCACAGAAACUAAACAAUGGAAAUAUGGCCAAAUUCAUGAUUUGCUAACCCUCUUCUCAGGUUUCUUACCUGACUCUUAGGAUAACAGCAUUACUUUGAAGCAUAUGAUGAAGAUAUGCUGUCCAAAUACGUGCACGGUUUUGAGCAAAAUGCCUGAUACAAAUUGGUCAACAAACAAUUACUGGAUGAUGAUAUGAAUAUUUACUGAAUGACAUGGAUCCUAUGAAUAACUGUGGAAUAAUUGUUGUGAUUGCUUUUAUUAGCAGUGCUCAAAACUCAUCUCUGUGUGACCUUGCAAGUAAGCCACAUAACUGUGAACCUGCAGCUUCAUCAGUUUUAAAAUGAAGGAACGUGACAGAUUUUCAUUCUGCCACAGAAUGUCAGGCCUCCCAGACACCAGAACAUACAUUUACGUAAAGCCUUUGAUAUAUUUCCACGCAGUAUCCCUACAGGUAGUUGGAGGAUGGUGGGGGCUGCAGAGAGGCACGCUUUCCAAUGGGAUUGAGGCAGUCCUU